UACAGAGGGGGCAAGCGUUAUUCGGAUUUACUGGGCGUAAAGGGCGCGUAGGUGGCUCGGCAAGUCUGGUGUGAAAACGCUACCGCUUAACGGAGCGAUUGCGCUGGAAACUGCCGAACUUGAGUUCGCGAGAGGCUAGCAGAAUUCCUGGUGUAGCGGUGGAAUGCUUAGAUAUCAGGAGGAAUACCAGAGGCGAAGGCGGCUAGCUGGCGCGAUACUGACACUGAGGCGCGAAAGCGUGGGGAGCGAACAGG
rnacentral:misc_RNA from 1 species